GCGUGAGUGAGGAAGGCCUUAGGGUUGUAAAGCUCUUUCGGCGGGGACGAUGAUGACGGUACCCGCAGAAGAAGCCCCGGCUAACUUCGUGCCAGCAGCCGCGGUAAUACGAAGGGGGCGAGCGUUGUUCGGAUUUACUGGGCGUAAAGGGCGCGCAGGCGGUUCUGUUUGUCGAGUGUGAAAGCCCCGGGCUCAACCUGGGAACUGCGCUCGAAACGGCGGAACUAGAGUUCGGGAGAGGAGAGUGGAAUUCCCAGUGUAGAGGUGAAAUUCGU
rnacentral:rRNA from 1 species